AUUGAACGCUGGCGGAAUGCUUUACACAUGCAAGUCGAACGGUAGAGGGGGCAACCCCUCGAGAGUGGCGAACGGGUGAGUAAUAUAUCGGAACGUGCCCAGUCGCGGGGGAUAACGUAGCGAAAGUUACGCUAAUACCGCAUACGAUCUAAGGAUGAAAGCGGGGGAUCGCAAGACCACGAGCGAUUGGAGCGGCCGAUAUCAGAUUAGGUAGUUGGUGGGGUAAAGGCUCACCAAGCCAACGAUCUGUAGCUGGUCUGAGAGGACGACCAGCCACACUGGAACUGAGACACGGUCCAGACUCCUACGGGAGGCAGCAGUGGGGAAUUUUGGACAAUGGACGCAAGUCUGAUCCAGCCAUUCCGCGUGCAGGAUGAAGACCCUCGGGUUGUAAACUGCUUUUGUACGGAACGAAAAGGUCUCUCUUAAUACGGGGGACUCAUGACGGUACCGUAAGAAUAAGCACCGGCUAACUACGUGCCAGCAGCCGCCGUAA
rnacentral:rRNA from 1 species